CCCACCAAUAACCCAGUGUUCAAGGAAUUCGUAGCAAUAGGAGAAAUCAUCGAAGCCCAGAGACGUUAGGUCGAAGAUAGGCGAAGUGAAUGACCAAGCUGCAAGCGUCUGGCGAAGCGUUUGGCAGGCCGUAUGAAAGGAGUCUCCUUGCGGCUAAAACUAACAUGUCUUAGUUACUUGAGCCGUCAACAAUGGAUCAGACUUUGGGGAACUCUAACCGUCAGACAAUGUGGGCGAACAGAUCAAGUUUCAGACGGCUCAGGCAGAAGUCAUGAUCAUAUCUUGUCACCCUAGGAAAGCAGGUGGACAUGGAGGCAUUCAAGGAACUGUUUGAAAACUAAAGGCCAAGGGAUUACGGCAUCCACAAUUGAAAAUCGGUCGAAAGGCAUGUUGAAGUAUGCGCGCAUGAGUUUCAGGAGCCAAGAGCAAAGAUCCGGUUUGAACAAAUAACAUACAUGCUGUAGCGCUUGAAAGACUGUGCUAGAGUGUCGAAGAUAAUUGCACAACGUCGCAGUAGCAAACCUCAGACGGCUGUUAAUCGUAUGUCAACGCACGCCUGAAGGACUAGCACUAUAUCGCACGUUGCUAUGCAUAUAUAAGCAGGACGGUUGAAUGUUACGAUUGCAGCUCAACCAUCUACGCCUUGUAACUCGUACCGUGGUCGACCUGUGAGAAGAAAGUUUGCGCGGCCUGACAAGUCUCCAUCCUCUCGUCAUUAUUGGGGAACUUUAUCGGCCCGCCAUCUCAACUGGCUAAUUAUUUUAUCUAUAGCCAACGUUCUAUGUGGGAGCUCACAGUUUCUUGAAAACAGACUUACCCGAUCUCCAGUCUAAUCUUUCUUGUUUGUUCCAAUUGAGAAGGCAUUCG